rnacentral:rRNA from 1 species
CGCGUAGGCGGCUGGAUAAGUCAGAUGUGAAAGUCCAUGGCUCAACUGUGGAAGUGCAUUUGAAACUGUCUAGCUUGAGUAUCGGAGGGGAGUGUGGAAUUCCCGGUGUAGAGGUGAAAUUCGUAGAGAUCGGGAGGAACACCGGUGGCGAAGGCGACACUCUGGACGAAUACUGACGCUGAGGCGCGAAAGCGUGGGGAGCAAACA